rnacentral:rRNA from 1 species
GAGUUUGAUCGUGGCUCAGAUUGAACGCUGGCGGCGUGCUUAACACAUGCAAGUCGAGCGGUAACAGGCGUAGCAAUACGUGCUGACGAGCGGCGAACGGGUGAGUAAUGCUUCGGAAUCUUCCUCGUAGUGGGGAAUAACCUGGGGAAACUCAGGCUAAUACCGCAUACGAACUACGGUUGAAAGCAGGGGAUCGCAAGACCUUGCGCUAUGAGAUGAGCCGAAGUCGGAUUAGCUAGUUGGUGAGGUAACGGCUCACCAAGGCGACGAUCCGUAGCUGGUCUGAGAGGACGACCAGCCACACUGGGACUGAGACACGGCCCAGACUCCUACGGGAGGCAGCAGUGGGGAAUAUUGGACAAUGGGGGCAACCCUGAUCCAGCGACGCCGCGUGUGUGAAGAAGGCCUGCGGGUUGUAAAGCACUUUUAGUGGGGAUGAAAAGCCGAAGGCUAAUACCUUUCGGUCUUGACCUAACCCAAAGAAAAAGCACCGGCUAACUCUGUGCCAGCCGCCGCCGU